CAGAGAGUAGUUUAAAAGUGUUAAAAAAUAUUAAUUUUGGAGAUUAAUGAUAAGAGGUUUUCUUGUCUCUGA
rnacentral:tRNA from 1 species